GACAGAGGGUCAAGCGUUGUUCGGAAUUAUUGGGCGUAAAGGGCGCGUAGGCGGUUUGUUAAGUCGAAUGUGAAAGCCCAGGGCUCAACCCUGGAAGUGCAUCCGAAACUGGCUAACUAGAAUCUCGGAGAGGGUGGUGGAAUUCCCAGUGUAGAGGUGAAAUUCGUAGAUAUUGGGAGGAACACCGGUGGCGAAGGCGACCACCUGGGACGAAAGAUUGACGCUGAGGCGCGAAAAGCGUGGGGGAGCAAACAGGGAUUAAGAAACCCCCGGUAGU
rnacentral:rRNA from 1 species